rnacentral:rRNA from 1 species
UGGGGGAAUAUUGGGCAAUGGGCGCAAGCCUGACCCAGCAACGCCGCGUGAAGGAAGAAGGCUUUCGGGUUGUAAACUUCUUUGUCAGGGACGAAGCAAGUGACGGUACCUGACGAAUAAGCCACGGCUAACUACGUGCC